rnacentral:rRNA from 1 species
AAGUCGUAACAAGGUCUCCGUUGGUGAACCAGCGGAGGGAUCAUUACAGAGUCGCAAAACUCCUAAACCCACUGUGAAUUUAUCAAUAUUGUUGCUUUGGCAGGCGGUUCCAGGGAGGGACUAUAGCUUAACGGCGCCUGCCAGAGGACCAAAAACUCUUGUUAAUUUACUGCAUCUCUGAGUAUCAAGACAAAAAUAAGUUAAAACUUUCAACAACGGAUCUCUUGGUUCUGGCAUCGAUGAAGAACGCAGCGAAAUGCGAUAAGUAAUGUGAAUUGCAGAAUUCAGUGAAUUAUCGAAUCUUUGAACGCACAUUGCGCCUACUAGUAUUCUGGUAGGCAUGCCUGUUCGAGCGUCAUUUCAACCCUCAAGCUCUAGCAGCUUGGUGCUGGGGCAUCUACAGUGACCUGUAGGCCUUGAAAGAAAGUGGCGGGCCUGUCAUGACCCCGAGCGCAGUAAUAUUUACCUCUCGCUUAGGGCGUCUUACGGGACUCUAGCCAUUAAACCCCCUAUAUUUAUACAAAGGUUGACCUCGGAUCAGGUAGGAAUACCCGCUGAACUUAAGCAUAUCAAUAAGCGGAGGAAAAGAAACCAACAGGGAUUGCCCUAGUAACGGCGAGUGAAGCGGCAACAGCUCAAAUUUGAAAUCUGGCCUCGGCCCGAGUUGUAAUUUGUAGAGGAUGCUUUUGGCGCGGCGCCUUCUGAGUUCUCUGGAACGAGACGCCAUAGAGGGUGAGAGCCCCGUAUAGAUGGACGCUAAGCCUCUGUAAAGCACCUUCGACGAGUCGAGUAGUUUGGGAAUGCUGCUCAAAAUGGGAGGUAAAUUUCUUCUAAGGCUAAAUACCGGCCAGAGACCGAUAGCGCACAAGUAGAGUGAUCGAAAGAUGAAAAGCACUUUGAAAAGAGGGUUAAAAAGUACGUGAAAUUGUUGAAAGGGAAGCGCUCAUGACCAGACUUGUGCCCUGUAAAUCCCCCAGCGUUCUCGCUUGGGUACUUUACUUGGUUCAGGCCAGCAUCGGUUUUCCUAUAGGGAUAAAAGCUCUGGGAACGUAGCUCCUCCGGGAGUGUUAUAGCCCGUUGCACAAUACCUUUGGGGGGACCGAGGUUCGCGCUCUGCAAGGAUGCUGGCGUAAUGGUUAUCAGCGACC